CCUACGGGUGGCAGCAGUGGGGAAUAUUGGGCAAUGGGCGCAAGCCUGACCCAGCAACGCCGCGUGAAGGAAGAAGGCUUUCGGGUUGUAAACUUCUUUUCUGAGGGACGAAGAAAGUGACGGUACCUCAGGAAUAAGCCACGGCUAACUACGUGCCAGCAGCCGCGGUAAUACGUAGGUGGCAAGCGUUAUCCGGAUUUAUUGGGUUUAAAGGGUGCGUAGGCUGUGAGGUAAGUCAGCGGUGAAAUGCCCCCGCUCAACGGGGUGAAGUGCCAUUGAUACUGCCUUGCUGGAAUGCGGAUGCCGUGGGAGGAAUGUGUGGUGUAGCGGUGAAAUGCAUAGAUAUCACACAGAACACCGAUUGCGAAGGCAUCUCACGAAUCCGCGAUUGACGCUGAUGCACGAAAGCGUGGGUAUCAAACAGGAUUAGAUACCCGGGUAGUC
rnacentral:rRNA from 1 species